AGUCUUUUAGUUUAAUUAAAAUUUUAAAUUGCAAGUUUAAGGAUACUUUAUAAGUCAAGACUU
rnacentral:tRNA from 1 species